rnacentral:rRNA from 1 species
UACGGAGGGUGCGAGCGUUGUUCGGAAUUAUUGGGCGUAAAGAGCGUGUAGGCGGCUUAGUAAGUCUGAUGUGAAAUCCCAGGGCUCAACCCUGGAACUGCAUUGGAUACUGCUAAGCUAGAGGCCGAGAGAGGGAAGUGGAAUUCCUGGUGUAGGGGUGAAAUCCGUAGAUAUCAGGAGGAACAUCGAAAGCGAAGGCAGCUUCCUGGCUCGGUUCUGACGCUGAGACGCGAAAGCGUGGGUAGCAAACGGG